rnacentral:rRNA from 1 species
GAUUGAACGCUGGCGGCCGGCCUAACACCUGCAAGUCGAACGGUAACCGGAAACAGCUUGCUGUUUCGCUGACGAGUGGCGGACGGGUGAGUAAUGUCUGGGAAACUGCCUGAUGGAGGGGGAUAACUACUGGAAACGGUAGCUAAUACCGCAUAACGUCGCAAGACCAAAGAGGGGGACCUUCGGGCCUCUUGCCAUCGGAUGUGCCCAGAUGGGAUUAGCUAGUAGGUGGGGUAACGGCUCACCUAGGCGACGAUCCCUAGCUGGUCUGAGAGGAUGACCAGCCACACUGGAACUGAGACACGGUCCAGACUCCUACGGGAGGCAGCAGUGGGGAAUAUUGCACAAUGGGCGCAAGCCUGAUGCAGCCACGCCGCGUGUAUGAAGAAGGCCUUCGGGUUGUAAAGUACUUUCAGCGGGGAGGAAGGGAGUAAAGUUAAUACCUUGACUCAUUGACGUUACCCGCAGAAGAAGCACCGGCUAACUCCGUG